rnacentral:rRNA from 1 species
CCUACGUGUGGCAGCAGUGGGGAAUAUUGGGCAAUGGGCGCAAGCCUUACCCAGCAACGCCGCGUGAAGGAAGAAGGUUUUCGGGUUGUAAACUUCUUUUAAGAGGGAAGAGCAGAUGACGGUACCUCAUGAAUAAGCCACGGCUAACUACGUGCCAGCAGCCGCGGUAAUACGUAGGUGGCAAGCGUUGUCCGGAUUUACUGGGUGUAAAGGGCGUGCAGCCGGGAAGACAAGUCAGAGUUGAAAUCCCCCGGCUCAACCGCGGAACUGCUUUUGAAACUGUUGUUCUUGAGUACCGGAGAGGUCAUCGGAAUUCCUUGUGUAGCGGUGGAAUGCGUAGAUAUAAGGAAGAACACCAGUGGCGAAGGCGAAUAACUGGACGGCAACUGACGGUGAGGCUCGAAAGCGUGGGGAGCAAACAGGAUUAGAUACCCUAGUAGUC